CCUCCCUGACCCACGGGAUCCUACCGCCGAUGCUCGAGACUCGGAGAGCAGCCGACGGCGGUGGAUAAGGAGAUCCAAAGCGAGCCGCUGCCGACGGUGAUGUUUGUACUAUUGCUUCUAAUCAAUGGUAUGAACGAUUUAGAAAAUCACUUUGUAUUAUUGCCUCUAAUCAAUGGUAUGAAAGAUUUAGAAAAUCAACCUACACACGGACGCGGUGUUUUGGCUUUUAGGUGCAUAUGCACCCAUUGUCUAAAUACACAUUUUGAAAAGUUGAAAAAUUCGGAACAAAAAUCCUGGGGGUAUAUCGGGACAUUCUAUGUGCAUGCACAAAGUUUCGGGGAAAAACCAUGUAUUUUUGUGGCUCGUGUAAAAAAGAUAAAGAAAUGCAAAAUGAAUAGUUGUAAUGAAGCAUCAGAAAUUGUCUUUUUUACACAAGCCACAAAAAACCUCGUUUUCCACCGAAAAGUUUGUGCAUGCACAUAGAAUGUCCGGAUAUACAUGCGGGAUUUCUGUUCGGAAUUUUUCAACUUUUCAAAAUAUGUAUUUAGACAAUGGGUACAUAUACACCUAGGAGCCAUUGCCAAUUUCCGCCUACACUAUCGCUUUAUAGGAAACAAUAUGGUGAACACCCAGUUUAUUACAUCGUUUAUGUUUGUGCUUUAUCCUGAUUGUAGUUUCAGUCAUAGGUCACGCACGGCACUAUUUCUAAUAAAAGGUCAUGCUUCUAUAUGGUGUUUAUUUGCUAUGAUGUUUACUAUCGGUGGUACCUUUAGAUUGUUGACUAUAUUUGUUUUGUACUCUAUUCUUCUAGGGUGAAUUUUGCUGUGAUUUCCGUGUGUCCAUCCAAAGGAAGUAGAUGAUUGAUAGAGAUUCAGAGGGAGCAAUUGAUAUAGAGAGUUGUUGUGGUUCCUAUUUCUUCAGGUAGUUACUUUUCUUGCAGUUUCCUUUUAGUUACGAGCUUCCUCUGCAGUAUAGUCAUUUCUUUAUUUCAUUACCAGUCCCUGUUGACUACAAUGUAACCAUGCAUUGGCAGCAUAAAUUGCAGCAGUUCUUAAUCAGUUAGAAAAAAGCAACCUGAUCAAUCUUGCUUCAGAUUAUGUUUCUAUUGCUAUUGCGGCCUGAGGUCCAUCCCCGAUCGCCCCUCCUCUCAAGCCGCUACGGUGGCCUAUAUGUUUUAGCGGGUUCCGUCACGCCGGGCUGCCCCAGUCCCUGACCCAGGGUUUGGUGGGCGAGCUCACUACCAUCCUCCCAGUGGUCUUCUUCCUCGCUUGAUUCUUGGGCGCCCCAUCUAUUCUGGACGAGCACCUUCCAGUGGUGGGUGAGGAGAUCUGGCAUGAACCACGCGCCGAGAGGAGCUCAAUUUCUGCUGCCUCUGCACGCCCUAGGUAUAGCAGAUCCUACACCCUACUCUUUUUUUAUUUGUUUCAGUAGAGUAGGAUGAACACCCGCAGCUCAGUCUGGGUUCGUAAAUUGUGUUUUCCUCUCCAAUAUGCUCUCUUUAUGCUUCAACUGUUAUGUUUGACCAUCACUCAUGUAUAUGCACUGCCUGUUAUUCCUAGAUUUUGUUAGCUCCAGUCUGCAACUACCCAUACAUGAUAAGAACAAUUAGAUAAAUGUUGCAUGGCAUGUCAAUAGCUUGGCCAAUCCAUUGUCUAUUUGUCUUCUUUAGACCACAUUGCAUUGUUCGCUCCAGUUUGUUGCCUAUUGUUCGUGUCAAACUCUUGCUCCGAUUUUACAUGGUCUAAUUAGUGUUCUAUAGAGAACAAUGCUUUUGGGUUAUGACUAAUCUUUCAAUUGUUUAGGUGGUGGAAAUUCACAUUCUUUUUCAAAAGCAUAUUUAGUUCGUUUAUCCUACAUUAUCUAUGACAAGUCGAUAAAAGAUGUAUAUGUUAUUUGUUCUUGCUCAUGCUCUUUUCUUUUAUCUGUUCAGGCCUAAUCUCACCAAUCUUUGCUACACUUCACAUCAUGAGGGAAGGAGGGUAAGUAAGUAAAUUGGCGACAACCUAUCAUAUUCCUUUAAGUCUUACUGAGUCCGAAUUUGAAGCAGUGUAGUAUCCCAUCAUUCCGUCAGCCAGACAUUGAACUCACUGUGGACUCAAUCAAAAGUAUUUGAAUUUCUCAUAUAUUAGUUAUUAAAACAAUCAGUGGUGUAGUAUCCAAUCAUUCUAUUAGCCAAACAUUGAACUGGUCGUGGAUUUGGUCAGAAGUAUUUGAAUUUCUCAUAUAAUCUUGUGCUUUUUACUUUUUUCUGACUAUGUUACGAAAAGGACCAGUAAUAACUAAUGUGAUUUGAAAACACAUAAGAUCUCAUGAGUUAGGAUGGACAUAACCAUGCCCUCUGAAACAGUCACCAAACUUUAAGGAAGUUUGUAUAUGUGUCUUCAUUUUUAAGGAUUAGGAGGACCACCUAUCACCCACUGUCCAAAACCUUUCAUAGGGGGUCAGUGCAUGAAUUGUUUUCUUGCUAUACAUACACACACUAUAUGCAUAAUUUGGCUAACACGAGAUGUCUUUCAACAGAUGCGUCCAUCGCAACACUCAAGCAAAUCAGAUGACAAGGUGUUUGGAGCAAGCUACUCAUAGCCAACUACAUAGUUUAGUACAAUGCUGUAUUAAAGCAGUGUAAAUAAAUAACUUAUAUGGCCUACUUUUGGUAUAUAGUACCGAACCUUGAUCUUUAGGUAUUUCACGCUACAAUUGUUAACAAAUGCACCAAUGGUUUGUAACGAGAUUUGAUGUUUUUAGUUGGACCAUUACUGUUGUAAGUAAAUAUCAUCUUCUGCUUUUUGAGUAAUACUAUCAGGUGUUGGGUUGUUAGACUGAAUAAAUAUAUACCAUAUGUUGGAUCGUUAAACAUUCCAAGGUAUCUAUUGUAUAUUACCGGAUUAGCUAAAACGGGACCCGGAGGGGUGCG
rnacentral:lncRNA from 1 species